UAUAUUUCAGUAGUUGUCAUG
ensembl:piRNA 21ur-1049 ncRNA